UACGUAGGGGGCAAGCGUUAUCCGGAUUUACUGGGUGUAAAGGGAGCGUAGACGGCAUGGCAAGUCAGAUGUGAAAGCCCGGGGCUCAACCCCGGGACUGCAUUUGAAACUGUCAGGCUGGAGUGCAGGAGAGGUAAGCGGAAUUCCUAGUGUAGCGGUGAAAUGCGUAGACAUUAGGAGGAACACCAGUGGCGAAGGCGGCUUACUGGACUGUAACUGACGUUGAGGCUCGAAAGCGUGGGGAGCAAACAGG
rnacentral:rRNA from 1 species